rnacentral:rRNA from 1 species
UACAGAGGAGCCAAGCGUUGUCCGGAUUGACUGGGCGUAAAGCGCACGCAGGCGGACGCGCGCGGUGGGGUGUGAAAUCUGGCCGCUUAACGGCCAGGCGCCAUCCCAUACGGCGCGUCUGGAGUGAUGCAGAGGUCGGUGGAAUUGCCGGUGUAGUGGUGAAAUGCGUAGAGAUCGGCAGGAACACCCAGGGGGAAACCAGCCGACUGGGCAUCUACUGACGCUGAGGUGCGAGAGCGUGGGGAGCGAACCGG